rnacentral:rRNA from 1 species
GGCUCAGAGCGAACGCUGGCGGCAGGCUUAACACAUGCAAGUCGAGCGCUCGUAGCAAUACGAGAGCGGCAGACGGGAGAGUAACACGUGGGAACGUACCCUUCGGUUCGGAAUAACCCAGGGAAACUUGGGCUAAUACCGGAUACGUCCGUAAGGAGAAAGAUUUAUCGCCGAGGGAUCGGCCCGCGUCCGAUUAGCUUGUUGGUGAGGUAAUGGCUCACCAAGGCGACGAUCGGUAGCUGGUCUGAGAGGAUGAUCAGCCUCACUGGGACUGAGACACGGCCCAGACUCCUACGGGAGGCAGCAGUGGGGAAUAUUGGACAAUGGGCGCAAGCCUGAUCCAGCCAUGCCGCGUGGGUGAUGAAGG